GACGAACGCUGGCGGCGUGCCUAAUACAUGCAAGUCGAACGCUGCUUAAGAAGAAACUUCGGUUUUUUCUUAAGCGGAGUGGCGGACGGGUGAGUAACACGUGGGGAACCUAUCCAUCAGCGGGGGAUAACACUUGGAAACAGGUGCUAAUACCGCAUACGGCUUUUUUUCACCUGAAAGAAAGCUCAAAGGCGCUUUACAGCGUCACUGAUGGCUGGUCCCGCGGUGCAUUAGCCAGUUGGUGAGGUAACGGCUCACCAAAGCAACGAUGCAUAGCCGACCUGAGAGGGUGAUCGGCCACACUGGGACUGAGACACGGCCCAGACUCCUACGGGAGGCAGCAGUAGGGAAUCUUCGGCAAUGGACGCAAGUCUGACCGAGCAACGCCGCGUGAGUGAAGAAGGUUUUCGGAUCGUAAAGCUCUGUUGUCAGCAAAGAACAGGAGAAAGAGGCAAUGCUUUUUCUAUGACGGUAGCUGACCAGAAAGCCACGGCUAACUACGUG
rnacentral:rRNA from 1 species